AAAGAAACUAAAAAGGUUUUCCCUAGUAGGGGCGAACGACCGGGAAUUAGCCCAGCCCCGAUUCCUGUAUCUUUGGUAUUAGGAAUUGUGGUGUACAGGUUAUGUCUUUAGCUGUUUAAGUGUGUCCCAAAUUCACUUGAUUGUGAUUAUUGCCCAUAGGGGGUGUUAGACCCGUUGGAAUGCGCGGGACAUUUUUUGAUAUUUCCUAUGAGUCGGAUUGUUUGAAAAUGCAGCCAAAUUUGGGGGGAAAACCCCAUCUAAGGCUAAAUACUUGUGUGAGCCCAAUAGCAAACAAGUCCCGGGGGGAAAAGUUAAAAAAAAUUUUGAAGAGAGAGUUAAUAGUACGUGAAAUCGCUUAGAGGUAAACGAGUGGAGCCGAAAAUGUUCUAUGGGAUUCAGUUGUCUUCGGUGAUAAUGAUUGUUGUYCGGUAAAAUCUCACUAGGAAUUAUCGGAUCGAUAUGUUUGUUACUGGAGCGAUGCACUUUCCAUAGGACUGAACUGUGACCAAUAGAAUUGUUUUUCUAUCGUAAUAAUGAAGGUGAUCAUUUGUUCGCAAGUGGUUUUAUAGCUUAUUACAUGGUUGAACGUAAUGUAUUGGUGAAUGCGAUUAGUUAAUAUUGGUGAUGUGUUAUACAUGUUAGUUGGUGGCUGGCUCAUUGUAGACUGUCGUCAGGUGAUGUGUGUGAUAUCGUUGUUGAUGGAUUAAUCUAAAGUCACAGUGUAUAUGUAGGUUACCUACUUGUCCCGUCUUGAAACACGGACCAMGGAGUUUUAUAUGAUCGUGAGUCAAARGGCUUUACGAAACCCCAGGGCAUAAWUAAUGUAAAGGKUUACUUUUGUAGASUGCGAUGUGACCYGAAAWGAAGAAUCACCAAUGGUUUUUGAUUUUCAGUGCAACAUCGACCCGUCUAAAGAUGUUCGCAUCUGGGCGGAGUUUGAACGAUCAUGUAGAGACCCGAAAGAUGGUGAACUAUGCUUGUGCAGGUUGAAGUCAGAGGAAACUCUGAUGGAGGACCGCCGCGGUUCUGACGUGCAAAUCGAUCGUCGGACAUGAGUAUAGGGGCGAAAGACUAAUCGAACCC
rnacentral:rRNA from 1 species